GGAGUAACGCUAUUCCCCAAAGUCAGCUGCGCAAGGAGCGCUCUCGUAACCCCUUCUGCAGGGCAGGGAAUACCUGGGCCGAGGAGCACGUUACGUAAGCACACGGUGUACGCAAGUGAAGACGAGUUCUUCGACCAGAUCCCAAAAUUAGACUCAUUGUAAUUACCAGAGGACAAAGUAGGACUUCUCCAUUAUAUCCAUGUGUGUCCAACUCUCCGCGACCACUGAAAUCCACACGGAAAAGUGCCAUUAUGGAGUCAAUGAUCUGCAUUGUAAUCAUGCUGGAUGGUGUGUUUCAUUGGUUUAUCUAAGACAGCCUAUUAACUUCCUCUCCUUGUGACAAAACCUUCAUGGAUGUGGGCAGUAUUAAAAAGUAACAACUUGUAUGAAUUCUCUACUCAAACACAGUUUAUGGAGGGUGCCGCUCACGCAUCUUCCUCAGCAAGGGCACACACGGCGGUUUUGGAUUGGAUGGCCAAAACCUGUCAGGGAGCUGGAAGAGAAGUGACUUGCCUGGAGUCACAGGACAAGAAAAUGAGUCUGAGUCAUAUACAUGACUUAAUCUGCCAUUUUAAAAGGAUGGAAAAGGUGCUUUUUAGGAUAUGAACACUUGUGUGAGACAUCUGCAGGCUUCUUGGAGGCAGUAUUUGGAAAGCAAUCGCCCGUUUUAGCUCGCCUCUGGUGGCACAGUUGGUACGGGACUGCAUGUCCAGGAGACAUCGCAUCUCCUGCGAGAAGCAGGAGUUCCUGGCUGCCCCUUGUGUGGGCUUGGAAUGGCAGAAGGGAUUGGAGCAGCAUCGCAGCCUGUUCCAAGGGGCUUGUGAAAACUUCCCCACCCUCUGCCUGGGGGAGGUUAAGGGCACCUUUCCCAAGCCAUUUCUUAGCCAAGUCAGAAAACAAGCAACGAAACCCAGGGCCCUGCGCCAUCAUCAGCAGACCACGGGAGUGCUCGAAGGGUCUCCAUUUGAAACAUCGAGCAAUUUCUCUAAGUACCAAAAAGUCCAAUCCUAGAAGCCCAAGGCUUUGUCUGUACAGAGGAGGCGGCUGGCACAGCUUUUGAAAACCACAUUAUUCCACAAGAGUUAUUCCAGAAGAGCACUUAGGCAGACAACCCUUUAAAGGUGAAUUCCUUCACAAAGUACAUUUUAAUUCCAGAACAGAAUGAAGAGGAUGACCCUUCUGGUGCUGCUGAGUGGCUCUGCAGCAGAAAAUACCUCACUCUGUAAACAGCCUUCCCUUCAUUAUCCUUUUAGUUUGUAAAAUGGUUCUCAGAAAGGUCAAUGAAUGCACAGAAUCUUAAGACCAUUUCCCACUCCAAAGAGCUA